UACGGAGGGUGCAAGCGUUAUCCGGAUUCACUGGGUUUAAAGGGUGCGUAGGCGGGCAGGUAAGUCCGCGGUGAAAUCUCUGAGCUUAACUCAGAAACUGCCAUGGAUACUAUUUGUCUUGAAUAUUGUGGAGGUGAGCGGAAUAUGUCAUGUAGCGGUAAAAUGCUUAGAUAUGACAUAGAACACCAAUUGCGAAGGCAGCUCACUACACAGUUAUUGACGCUGAGGCACGAAAGCGUGGGGAUCAAACAGG
rnacentral:rRNA from 1 species